GAUGAACGCUGGCGGCGUGCCUAACACAUGCCAGUCGAACGGAGAUUACGGACGGAAGUUUUCGGAUGGAGGACUGUAAUUCUUAGUGGCGGACGGGUGAGUAACGCGUGGGCAACCUGCCCUAUACAGGGGGAUAGCAGCUGGAAACGGCUGGUAAGACCGCAUAAGUCGGCGAGACCGCAUGGUUUUGCCGGGAAAUGAGCAAUCAGGUAUAGGAUGGGCCCGCGUCCGAUUAGCCAGUUGGCAGGGUAAAAGCCUACCAAAGCAACGAUCGGUAGCCGGACUGAGAGGUCGGACGGCCACAUUGGGACUGAGACACGGCCCAAACUCCUACGGGAGGCAGCAGUGGGGGAUAUUGCACAAUGGAGGAAACUCUGAUGCAGCGACGCCGCGUGAGUGAAGAAGUAUUUCGGUAUGUAAAGCUCUAUCAGCAGGGAAGAUGAUGACGGUACCUGACUAAGAAGCCCCGGCUAACUACGUG
rnacentral:rRNA from 1 species